AAUGAACUUCCUUUUUUCUAUUGAGCUGGCCAGGUUUGAAGAAUAAUUAAUUCCAUUGACUUGGAUCUGUCUUCUCUCUCACGUGAUUUUUCUUCUCACCGAAACUUCAAUUCUGAUUUUUUAGACUUGUGAUUUCUCUCCUUUUUGGCAGUAAACCAGAUCUUGACCUUGAUCUUGGCUUAUGGUCUGUGGUGGUUUCUGGCUAUAGUUUGGCCUGUGUAUAGUAUUCAUUUUCAAGCAGUUUUGGGCCUUUUUCUGGGUCCGCUUUGAAUUGUAAAGUGCUAUACUCCACUUGCGUCUUUGUCUUCGGUCGGUUAGGGGAUAUAUAGAUUGAUGAUCUGUUAGUUGAAUAGGUGAUCAAAUUCUUGUACCCUAAACUUUUACUCUCUUAAGAGGUUCUUACACAUAGUGACAGGCUGUUAUCUCUUAUCUCUGAUCCUUCAGAGUAGGCUUUAGUCGACCUACGUGAACAUUUCUUGUGUUGGUUUUUUACUGUUUGUGAGUGAUCGUGUUUUGGUUUUUGCAUAUUGCUUCGUUUGGUAGACAAAAUCCCAACAAAAGGUUGAAACUUGAAUAUAAGAAUGGUAAUUGCUUGUAUAAUUAAAGACCGGUCCGGUCCACCAAUUCACAGUAGUGGGUAAGGUUCGUUUGUAACAUAUUUGCCAUAUCUAACCACAAUCGAACACGAGCCUCCGUUGAUUCCUUACGUGACAUGAACAUUCGACACAGGCUUUGAUAUUCCCGCUUGUGUCUACAUUUAAUGCCACGUCAUCCUUAAGAUGCUUCUUGUUAAAAUUGCAUUUCCCAUUUAGCCAUUUCUUGUCCCCUAAGAUAUUACAUGGUGACGACGGGGGUACAAAAUGUCGCUAGUUGUGCCAACAACAGAUAUGGCGAUGGGCUUCCAUAAAUCAUUUCGGGCUGAGCUCGGUGGGCUUCAUUGGGCUACUACAGCUUUAGCCACCAAUUGAAGUGGAGAUGGGGAUAUAAAGAAAUUGACGGAGAAGUACCAUCUUUUUAGGUCGAUUUACAAGCAUCACUGCAAUGCUAAUGACGAGGUCUAUUGUACUAAUUGCAUUUUAAUAUAAUUACAUGUCAAUAUAUGUAAUAAUUUUCUCUAUGUAUGUGUGUUGUAUGGGAGAAUUGAUUACACCUAACCGUGCAGUUUCAUAUUUCUACUGUUCGUUAAGCAUUUCUCUGUCAUUAAUUUAAUUGAAGAAUCUCAAGCUGUGUAGCUGAAAUUCAUAGCCUUCGAAUAUUUCUGCAAAUGACUGCUUCAUUCAUUUUUCUAUUAUUAUUAUUGUAACUUAUUUAUA
rnacentral:lncRNA from 1 species